AGAGUUUGAUCCUGGCUCAGGAUGAACGCUGGCGGCGUGCCUAACACAUGCAAGUCGAGCGAGAAUCCCCUAAAUGAGAUUUCGGUCAAGUGAAGGGGAGGACAGCGGCGGACGGGUGAGUAACGCGUAGGUAAGCUGCCCUUUGCUGUUGGAUAGCCUCGGGAAACCGGGAUUAAUACAACAUAACGCGUUGGAGUCACAUGGCUCUGACGCCAAAGAUUUAUCGGCAGAGGAUGCACCUGCGUCUGAUUAGAUAGUUGGUGAGGUAACGGCCCACCAAGUCAACGAUCAGUAGCCGACCUGAGAGGGUGAUCGGCCACAUUGGAACUGAGACACGGUCCAAACUCCUACGGGAGGCAGCAGUGGGGAAUAUUGCACAAUGGGGGAAACCCUGACCGAGCAACGCCGCGUGAAUGAUGAAGGUCUUCGGAUUGUAAAGUUCUGUUAUAAGGGAAAAAUGAUAGCGUGAGGAAAUGCUCGUUAUUUGAUGGUACCUUAUUAGAAAGCCACGGCUAACUACGUGCCAGCAGCCGCGGUAAUACGUAGGUGGCAAGCGUUAUCCGGAAUUAUUGGGCGUAAAGAGUGAGCAGGCGGCAUGGUAAGUUUGGAGUGAAAGCGUGGGGCUUAACCCCAUACAGCUUCGAAAACUGCCAGGCUAGAGUGCGGGAGAGGUAAACGGAACUCCAUGUGUAGCGGUGAAAUGCGUAGAUAUAUGGAGAGACACCAGUGGGGGAAGGGCGGUUUACUAGCCCGAUCCUGACGCUCAGUCACGAAAGCGGGGGGAGCAAAUAGGAUUAGAUACCCUGGUAGUCCACACUGUAAACGAUGAAUGCUAGGUGUAGGGGGUAUCGACCCCUUCUGUGCCGCAGUAAACACAAUAAGCAUUCCGCCUGGGGAGUACGGCCGCAAGGUUGAAACUCAAAGGAAUUGACGGGGGCCCGCACAAGCAGCGGAGCAUGUGGUUUAAUUCGACGCAACGCGAAGAACCUUACCAGGUCUUGACAUCCAAUUAAAGCAGUAGAGAUAUUGUGUGCCCUUCGGGGCGAAUUGAGACAGGUGGUGCAUGGUUGUCGUCAGCUCGUGUCGUGAGAUGUUGGGUUAAGUCCCGCAACGAGCGCAACCCUUACGGAUAGUUACUAACACGCAAAGGUGAGGACUCUAUCAGGACUGCCGGGGACAACUCGGAGGAAGGUGGGGACGACGUCAAAUCAUCAUGCCCCUUAUGCCCUGGGCUGCACACGUGCUACAAUGGCCGGUACAGAGGGCUGCCACUCAGCGAUGAGGAGCGAAUCCCCCAAAGCCGGCCCCAGUUCGGAUCGCAGGCUGCAACCCGCCUGCGUGAAGUCGGAGUUGCUAGUAAUCGCGGAUCAGCACGCCGCGGUGAAUACGUUCCCGGGCCUUGUACACACCGCCCGUCA
rnacentral:rRNA from 1 species